UUGGCUCAGGAUGAACGCUGGCGGCGUGCCUAACACAUGCAAGUCGAACGGAGCAUAGACGCUGUGAGAAGAAUCAGCUUGCUGAGGAAGCGAACUUGUUUAUGCUUAGUGGCGGACGGGUGAGUAACGCGUGGAUAACCUGGCUCACACAGGGGGAUAGCAGUUGGAAACGACUGAUAAUACCGCAUAAGCGCACGAUAUCGCAUGAUAAAGUGUGAAAAGAUUUAUCGGUGUGAGAUGGAUCCGCGUCUGAUUAGCCAGUUGGCGGGGUAACGGCCCACCAAAGCGACGAUCAGUAGCCGGCCUGAGAGGGCGGACGGCCACAUUGGGACUGAGACACGGCCCAGACUCCUACGGGAGGCAGCAGUGGGGAAUA
rnacentral:rRNA from 1 species